UACAGAGGGUGCAAGCGUUAUUCGGAAUCAUUGGGCGUAAAGAGCGCGUAGGCGGUUUGAUAAGUCUGUGGUGAAAUCCCUGGACUCAAUUCAGGAAGUGCAGCAGAUACUGUUAGACUAGAGUAUGGGAGCGGAAAGCGGAAUUCCAGGUGUAGAGGUGAAAUUCGUAGAUAUCUGGAGGAACAACAGAAGCGAAGGCGGCUUUCUGGACCAUUACUGACGCUGAGGCGCGAAAGCGUGGGGAGCAAACAGG
rnacentral:rRNA from 1 species